AGUAGAGGUGGAGCCCCAGGAUAACUAAUCCUUUCUUUUACUUUCAUUUUCCAUCCUUUAAAAAUGACAAAUAAAUGCAUACUCAGAGCGCGCUCCACGAGUUAUGUUUGUUUUUACCAUCUGGAUACUCAGUAUCGAUCGGAGAACACCUAAGAAUGACUUGCGGCAGAAGUUCCUCCCACAUCCGUUUCCCCAGAAAGACCCCCAGGACAAAGCGCUCCCACAAAGGAAUGCAGUCUACGGCAAAGACACCACAGCCCAUGCUACAGGACUUGAUGUCCCAGUACUUCACCCGCAAGGAGAUGGCUGCACAUUCAUUAACAGGAAGAAAUCAAAUGCCAAAGGAAGUUUGCCACCAAGACUAGAUCCUAAAAAAGUGGAACUGUUAUUCAUUGUUUUUUCAUGAUUGUGAUGUUUUUUUUAAAAAAACAAUUAUAACACUUUACAUUAUGAAUGACAGAGACAGAGGCCUCCUACAAAGUAUUAUUAAAAUGUGCAUCAAAGGCAUGAUGAGCAUCUGUUACACAGAUAUUCAUGUUCUAAUUUUACAACAGGUGUACUUGUACAAAAAUAACUUAACCAACAUGUCACAUUUAUGUGUGUUGUUUUUGUUUUCAUGUCUUUUAUUUUCAAGUUUAGUUCCUGUUCAGGUCAUGUGGUGUCAUGUCAUGUGAUUUCCUGUUCCCUCAUGUGAUCUUUUCACGUGUUUCCCCUGUUCAUGUGUCUUGUUUUCAUUGGUUCAUUGUUUGAUUACUUUGUUAUUAGUCUUGUCUUUUCAUUGGUUAAAGUUAAUUUAGUCUUGUUAUCUUGUUUAUAGUUUAGUCUUGUGAUUGGUUGUCUUGUUUUCUUGUUAACCAUGUCCUUGCAUUUAAGCCAUUGCCAUUGUCUGGUGUUAGGUAUUGUGAAUGUAACUUUGUUGUUUUGUUUAUGCCAAGUUCAUAGUCUAGUCAUGUCAAGUUUGUUUUGUUCAUGUUUAUGUUUAGUACACGUUUGUAGUCAGGGUUUUGGGAUUCCACAUUUUAAAAAUAAACUGCACUUGGGUUCAUCACUUCAUCAUCAUCGUCUUCAUCUUUGUCAUUGCCAGCACCACAGCGUCGUUACACAACAUUUGCGCACACACACACACACACACACACACACACACACACACACA